GCUGAGGGGCAUGUGGGUGUUUGCCUCUGUGUGUGUGUGUGUGUGUGUGUGUGUGUGUUGGGGAUGAGGGUAGGCCCUUUGCUUCUGAAGAUGCUUUGUAAAUGUCUUUGGUUUUCAUCUCUUUCUCCUUUCCUUUGUCUGCAGUCGGUUGGGUUCUCCUGUGCACCAGCGCCCUAAGUGACAGCCUCUGGCAGUAAUGAGGCUGUGCUCCUCUGUAAUUGAACCCUGUCAGCACUGCCCAUUAAGGCCGCGUGUGUGUGCCAGCUCAUUAAUCCAAAGCCCAUUUCUUCCCCUCCGUCAUUUCCCUUUUAUAUCAUGGCACCGUUUCAAGUCCUGAUCCCCCUAUUGUGCAUGUGGAGGUUCAGGAAUGGAGAGUAAUUGGUGUUAUUGCACUGUCUUGAGAAGGAACGCUUUUAAUGAAAGACAUGUUCACAUCUGCAAACUAAGAUCAUUGUGUCAUGAUUGCAUAUUGUUGGGCUUCUUGGAUCGUCUGUUUGCAGUCAGAGGUUUUUUUUUGUGGGUUCAGAUCCAGCAUCUCAGACUCUCAUAGUUCAUGAGGUCUUUAUGAUUAAAACACACACUCAUGUGUAUGCAUAUAUAUAUGUAUAUACCUGUGUCUCUCUAUAUUUUCCUUUAUAAUGGAUUAGACAUUAUGAAAUCCCAAUAGAACAUGAAACUGCUCUGUGAGUGUACACGUCCUCCCAUGCACCAGUGUGAAAAUAAUGGCUUCUUUAUUAUGACACUCUUGGUUAGUCAAACUUUCCUUCUUUCUUUAGCUAUUUUUAAGUGUUGUGAUAUUAACAUCAAAGGAAUGGCUGGUUAAUACUAGCAGGCUUUCAUCUUCUUUACUUUCUCCCAUGCAAUGCAUUCAGAUUUUAUCAUUGUUUUCAUUCUGUGCUUUGCGUACGUGAUCCUUUUGCAUGUUCAGAUUGGUGAUGGUCGGAGCAGAGAUGGCUGAAUUAUCACUUCUAUGGAAAAAUGUUUCUAACGUUAUUGUGAGUAACUCGGCUUAGAGACUUUCUUUCAUCCCGCGUGUUACAUACACUCUUCCUUUUGCACUCCAAAAAUGUAAUUAAAUUCCUUUUCUAAUCAUUUUGAAUCUGGGAUCUAGUUGAGGUGUAUCUUAACAUGCUUGCUAAGUAGGAAUCAAAGAAAAUACAGUUUGGGCUUUAGUGUAGGGAAGGCAGUUGAACUCACGGUAUCAUCUGAUCGAAGUGAGGAGUCUUCCAGGAUGCGGAUCCUGGACGAGAGGGAGGGUGCUGGCAGGUAGACAGGAGAGGGACUGACAAAGGUCAUCAAAUUCAGGUGAGUCUGUGGAAAUGCACAGCUCCAAAUGAGUCGUAUUUGUCAGCAUCAUCACUUGCUGGUAGGUCACUUUGAAAUGUAUUGCAGUGAUGUUAGGAACACUUUUUAAAAACAAUUCGAAUGGAAAUUCUUGCUAUUUGUUAAAUUAUUGUCUAUGAAGAUACUAGGCAGACUAACUUGGGCAUAAGUAUCCUAUGCUCUUUAUAUAAAGUGAAAAAUAGGGGAAAAAACAAAAAUAA
rnacentral:lncRNA from 1 species